ACUUGGCUGGCUUAGUCCAUAAAGCAUAAGACUCUUGAUCUUAGGGUUGUGAGUUUGAGCCCUACAUUGGGUA
rnacentral:tRNA from 1 species